CAGGGAGACAACAACUAAUUGUGAUGUCUGAGCUUUUUAUUCUUAGGCCAUAAUUUUGUCACCUUAGGUCGAUCGGUACCUCAGUUUAAAAUCCAUUUCUUUGAAUAUCAUAGUUUUGGUUAUUAAUUCAGUUCCUAAACUUGUCUAGGUCACACCCAACAAGGGUACUCCUGGGCCAUUAGCUCAGGUGGUUAGAGCGCACCCCUGAUAAGGGUGAGGUCCCUGGUUCAAGUCCAGGAUGGCCCAUUCGGUGUUGGGGGUUUAGCUCAGUUGGUAGAGCGCCUGCUUUGCAAGCAGGAUGUCAGCGGUUCGAGUCCGCUAACCUCCACUGAUUUAACCUCCCUCAAUGAAACUUUAAGGAGGUUUCCUUGUUUAUUGUGAUUUAGAUUAGUUUUCCUGAAGAAGACCCUAGCUUCUUAUCAUUCCUCAAAUUAAAUUUAGAAGAGGUUGAUAUGACGCUGGGCUCUCUGAAAUUGUAAAAGAUUUCAGCAAAGUUCAGUAGAACCUUGACAACUGCAUAGGUGAGUUUGGAAAGAAUAAAGCAUCUCAUGGAUACAUUAUUUCUUUUUCUUGUUAAGUAAUUUCUGAUUAAUCAGGGUUACUUACCAUUUAAGGCAGUAAUGUUUAAUUCUUGAGCAAGAGCCGAUACUCAAUUAAUUCUAAUAUCUUGUUUUUGCAAGAGAUUUAAUUGAGGUUUAUU
rnacentral:tRNA from 1 species